GUUUUUUUUUGUGUCCUGCCAUUGGCAGCUGUGCAGAGUGGCUUGUGGAAGAGCCGUAGCAUUCCGAUUGAGCUCCGGGAGGAAUGGGGGGGAGGUCGCUGGCAGGGAGAAGCCACCACCCCCAAUGGCUGGGCUGUUGAAAUCCCACACGCUCCGGCAUCGGGCGAACGUCGCUGGAGAUCUCUCGUGCCUCUUCUGUACGAAUACACUGAGGUGAAUAGACAAAGGAGUGAAACCACAACAAGACCCUUUUAUGGAAAAGUCACAUACUGUCGCUGGCACCAUUUUGCCCAACAUAUCUUUGCGAAGGUAGAAUACAUAUAUCCUCGUCUGUUUACAUAUUAGUACAAUAGAGUCUGUAUGUCUGCUUAAUGUGCCUGUAACUUAAUUGUAUGAAUCUAACUCUGUAACCGUGAUCAGUCCCAAAAAAAUUGCCGUGCCAAUUUAUGCUACAUGUUUUUUAUUUAUUUCAUAACUUUAUUAAUAAUAAAGGUGUUUUUUUUUGUUAGAUCACGUGUGUAUAUAUGUAUAGUUAACUCACCACCACCGACAUAGCCAAUUAGUAAGGUUUGUCAGGUAUACAAAACGUGUCAAUUAGUUUGUGCAAAUUAUUACAUAGAGAGAAUGUUAUACUCUUUGGUUUUUUCGGUAAAGUCACGUAGGUAAAAUAAAAUAAAACUACUAAAUUAAAUCACGACAUUUCGGAGGCAACACAAGCUUCCGUCUUCAGGUGGAACAGUCACAGCAGAAUAUCUGUAUCACUUGGUACAGCUAUUCCGCUAUUCU